GCCGCGCGCGGGCACUGCGUUGGGUGCGCGCGCAACGGCAUGCGCGGACGGACGGAACCGGUUGGCGGCGCGCCGGUGCGACCGUCCGCGCCGUUC
rnacentral:tRNA from 1 species